rnacentral:ribozyme from 1 species
CCACUUCUUUCUAUUCUUUCUUUUAACUUCAUUUUGCUCUCAUCAAGUGAGCGUGCAAGGCUGAUGAUAUAUCUGAAAAUUGAGACUCGACUUUAGCCAGCAGGUCAGUCAACCUACUUCUAAAGCUGCUUUGAACGCCGAGAGGAGCAAGUUUGCUUUCUUGAUUUCCUUCUUCUGUUUUUUUUUUUUAUAAAAUAAAAGAAAGAAACAUAACGAAACAAUCUG